rnacentral:miRNA from 1 species
UGGUGCUUGGACGAAUUUGCUA